GACGAACGCUGGCGGCGUGCUUAACACAUGCAAGUCGAGCGGUAAGGCCCUUUCGGGGUACACGAGCGGCGAACGGGUGAGUAACACGUGGGUGACCUGCCUUUAGCUCUGGGAUAAGCCUGGGAAACUGGGUCUAAUACCGGAUAUGACCCUAUGGCGCAUGUUGUGGGGUGGAAAGCCUUGUGCGGCUAGGGAUGGGCCCGCGGCCUAUCAGCUUGUUGGUGGGGUGAUGGCCUACCAAGGCGACGACGGGUAGCCGGCCUGAGAGGGCGACCGGCCACACUGGGACUGAGACACGGCCCAGACUCCUACGGGAGGCAGCAGUGGGGAAUCUUGCGCAAUGGGCGAAAGCCUGACGCAGCGACGCCGCGUGAGGGAUGACGGCC
rnacentral:rRNA from 1 species